rnacentral:rRNA from 1 species
UACGUAGGGUCCGAGCGUUGUCCGGAAUUAUUGGGCGUAAAGGGCUCGUAGGCGGUUUGUCGCGUCGGGAGUGAAAACACGGGGCUUAACCCCGUGCCUGCUUCCGAUACGGGCAGACUAGAGGUAUGCAGGGGAGAACGGAAUUCCUGGUGUAGCGGUGAAAUGCGCAGAUAUCGGGAGGAACACCGGUGGCGAAGGCGGUUCUCUGGGCAUUACCUGACGCUGAGGAGCGAAAGUGUGGGGAGCGAACAGG